GCCGCUGUUUAACAUCACACAGCUAAACUCCAGCCUCUGUUCCGAAAACUAAAAGCCUUUUUCCACGCGGUUGUCCGCUCCUUUCCAUCUCAGAUCUCUCCCUUCCUCCCUCUCCCUCUCUCUCUCUCUCUCUCUCAUUGCCAGAAGACGAACCAUAACAAGGAGGCGUAGAGAGAUAGAUAGGCUUCGGAGGAAGGGGGAAAAAAAAAAAGACUUACAAACAAAACGACUGGCGAUUCCCAUCUCCUCUCUCCCUUUCUUUAUGCGGUUCCGUGCUCGCCGGAAGGUGGCGGCGCCGCCGGUCGACGGCCAGAAAUCCUAACCCUACCCAUGGACCCCCAAUCCCUAACCCUAACCCUCCUCCUCGCCCUCUUCUUCAGCCCCCUCCUCUCCGCCGUCCCUUCUCCCUCACCCCCGCCGUUCCUCCCCGACUCCCUCUCGCCGCCGCCCCCCGUCUCCCCUNNNNN
rnacentral:lncRNA from 1 species